UACGUAGGGGGCAAGCGUUGUCCGGAUUUAUUGGGCGUAAAGAGCGUGUAGGCGGCUAGGUAGGUCCGUUGUGAAAACUCGAGGCUCAACCUCGAGACGCCGGUGGAAACCAUCUAGCUAGAGUCCGGAAGAGGAGAGUGGAAUUCCUGGUGUAGCGGUGAAAUGCGCAGAUAUCAGGAAGAACACCCGUGGCGAAGGCGGCUCUCUGGGACGUGACUGACGCUGGAGACGCGAAAGCGUGGGGAGCGAACAGG
rnacentral:rRNA from 1 species